rnacentral:siRNA from 1 species
GGAGAUAUUUCGCUCAAGGUGUAC